rnacentral:rRNA from 1 species
AUUGAACGCUGGCGGCAUGCCUUACACAUGCAAGUCGAACGGCAGCACGGGUGCUUGCACCUGGUGGCGAGUGGCGAACGGGUGAGUAAUACAUCGGAACGUACCUUAUCGUGGGGGAUAACGCAGCGAAAGCUGUGCUAAUACCGCAUACGCCCUGAGGGGGAAAGCGGGGGAUCGAAAGACCUCGCGCGAUUAGAGCGGCCGAUGCCUGAUUAGCUUGUUGGUGGGGUAAAAGCCCACCAAGGCGACGCUCAGUAGCUGGUCUGGGAGGACGAUCAGCCACACGGGGACUGAGACACGGCCCAGACUCCUACGGAAGGCAGCAGUGAGGAAUUUUGGACAAUGGGGGCAACCCUGAUCCAGCAAUGCCGCGUAAGUGAAGAAGGCCUUCAGGUUGUAAAGCUCUUUUGUCAGGGAAGAAACACCGGCUCUAACACAGUCCGGGAAUGACGGUACCUGAAGAAUAAGCACCGGCUAACUACGUGCCAGCCGCCGCCGUAA